AAAUUGAAGAGUUUGAUCAUGGCUCAGAUUGAACGCUGGCGGCAGGCCUAACACAUGCAAGUCGAACGGUAACAGGAAGAAGCUUGCUUCUUUGCUGACGAGUGGCGGACGGGUGAGUAAUGUCUGGGAAACUGCCCGAUGGAGGGGGGAUAACUACUGGAAACGGUAGCUAAUACCGCAUAACGUCGCAAGACCAAAGAGGGGGACCUUCGGGCCUCUUGCCAUCGGAUGUGCCCAGAUGGGAUUAGCUAGUUGGUGAGGUAACGGCUCACCAAGGCGACGAUCCCUAGCUGGUCUGAGAGGAUGACCAGCCACACUGGAACUGAGACACGGUCCAGACUCCUACGGGAGGCAGCAGUGGGGAAUAUUGCACAAUGGGCGCAAGCCUGAUGCAGCCAUGCCGCGUGUAUGAAGAAGGCCUUCGGGUUGUAAAGUACUUUCAGCGGGGAGGAAGGGAGUAAAGUUAAUACCUUUGCUCAUUGACGUUACCCGCAGAAGAAGCACCGGCUAACUCCGUGCCAGCAGCCGCGGUAAUACGGAGGGUGCAAGCGUUAAUCGGAAUUACUGGGCGUAAAGCGCACGCAGGCGGUUUGUUAAGUCAGAUGUGAAAUCCCCGGGCUCAACCUGGGAACUGCAUCUGAUACUGGCAAGCUUGAGUCUCGUAGAGGGGGGUAGAAUUCCAGGUGUAGCGGUGAAAUGCGUAGAGAUCUGGAGGAAUACCGGUGGCGAAGGCGGCCCCCUGGACGAAGACUGACGCUCAGGUGCGAAAGCGUGGGGAGCAAACAGGAUUAGAUACCCUGGUAGUCCACGCCGUAAACGAUGUCGACUUGGAGGUUGUGCCCUUGAGGCGUGGCUUCCGGAGCUAACGCGUUAAGUCGACCGCCUGGGGAGUACGGCCGCAAGGUUAAAACUCAAAUGAAUUGACGGGGGCCCGCACAAGCGGUGGAGCAUGUGGUUUAAUUCGAUGCAACGCGAAGAACCUUACCUGGUCUUGACAUCCACGGAAGUUUUCAGAGAUGAGAAUGUGCCUUCGGGAACCGUGAGACAGGUGCUGCAUGGCUGUCGUCAGCUCGUGUUGUGAAAUGUUGGGUUAAGUCCCGCAACGAGCGCAACCCUUAUCCUUUGUUGCCAGCGGUUAGGCCGGGAACUCAAAGGAGACUGCCAGUGAUAAACUGGAGGAAGGUGGGGAUGACGUCAAGUCAUCAUGGCCCUUACGACCAGGGCUACACACGUGCUACAAUGGCGCAUACAAAGAGAAGCGACCUCGCGAGAGCAAGCGGACCUCAUAAAGUGCGUCGUAGUCCGGAUUGGAGUCUGCAACUCGACUCCAUGAAGUCGGAAUCGCUAGUAAUCGUGGAUCAGAAUGCCACGGUGAAUACGUUCCCGGGCCUUGUACACACCGCCCGUCACACCAUGGGAGUGGGUUGCAAAAGAAGUAGGUAGCUUAACCUUCGGGAGGGCGCUUACCACUUUGUGAUUCAUGACUGGGGUGAAGUCGUAACAAGGUAACCGUAGGGGAACCUGCGGUUGGAUCACCUCCUUA
rnacentral:rRNA from 1 species